rnacentral:rRNA from 1 species
AUGGCCAUGGAGGAGAAACAUUCACUUGGCUUUGCCUACAUUAUGGAUUCCAGCCUCUAUAUGUGGUCAAGGAAGGUGGAUACGGAAGGACCUGCAGAAUGGGUGCAAUACAGGGUCAUCCAACUGGAGAAAACGGUACCUGUUGCCAAACAAGAUGAGAAACCAUUUGUUGUUGGGUCUGCAGAGGUGUGCCGUGUGGGUGUCAUCUUCGUUUGCACGGGUGCUGGCUUAUUUAUGAUCAAGCUCAGCUCUGGGCAGCUUAAGAAGGUUAAUGAGCCUGGGGUCUACUUUAGCGUCCUACCCUACAUGAGCUUCUACACUCCAGGUAUGAUACUGGCCCUUGCUUAUCUGUUGUCA